GAGUUUGAUCAUGGCUCAGGACGAACGCUGGCGGCGUGCUUAACACAUGCAAGUCGAACGGAAAGGCCUUCAGCUUGCUGGAGGUACUCGAGUGGCGAACGGGUGAGUAACACGUGGGUGAUCUGCCCUGCACUUCGGGAUAAGCCUGGGAAACUGGGUCUAAUACCGGAUAGGACCCUCCUUUAGUGUGGGGGGUGGAAAGUUUUUUCGGUGCAGGAUGAGCCCGCGGCCUAUCAGCUUGUUGGUGGGGUAAUGGCCUACCAAGGCGUCGACGGGUAGCCGGCCUGAGAGGGUGGACGGCCACAUUGGGACUGAGAUACGGCCCAGACUCCUACGGGAGGCAACAGUGGGGAAUAUUGCACAAUGGGCGCAAGCCUGAUGCAGCGACGCCGCGUGGGGGAUGACGGCCUUCGGGUUGUAAACCUCUUUCGACAGGGACGAAGCUUUUUGUGACGGUACCUGUAUAAGAAGCACCGGCUAACUACGUGCCAGCAGCCGCGGUAAUACGUAGGGUGCGAGCGUUGUCCGGAAUUACUGGGCGUAAAGAGCUCGUAGGUGGUUUGUCGCGUCGUCUGUGAAAUUCCGGGGCUUAACUCCGGGCGUGCAGGCGAUACGGGCAAUACUUGAGUGCUGUAGGGGAGACUGGAAUUCCUGGUGUAGCGGUGAAAUGCGCAGAUAUCAGGAGGAACACCAAUGGCGAAGGCAGGUCUCUGGGCAGUAACUGACGCUGAGGAGCGAAAGCAUGGGUAGCGAACAGGAUUAGAUACCCUGGUAGUCCAUGCCAUAAACGGUGGGCGCUAGGUGUAGGGGUCUUCCACGACUUCUGUGCCGUAGCUAACGCAUUAAGCGCCCCGCCUGGGGAGUACGGCCGCAAGGCUAAACUCAAAGGAAUUGACGGGGGCC
rnacentral:rRNA from 1 species